CAGAAACUCAAAUGAAUUGACGGGGGCCCGCACAAGCGGAGGAGCAUGUGGUUUAAUUCGAUGAUACGCGAGGAACCUUACCUGGGCUCGAACGUAAGAUGACUGUAGGUGAAAGCUUACAUCUCUUCGGAGCAUUUUACGAGGUGCUGCAUGGUUGUCGUCAGCUCGUGCCGUGAGGUGUCGGGUUAAGUCCCAUAACGAGCGCAACCCCUACCUUUAGUUGCCAUCAGGUUAAGCUGGGGACUCUAAAGGAACUGCCUACGCAAGUAGUGAGGAAGGCGGGGAUGACGUCAAAUCAGCACGGCCCUUACGUCCAGGGCUACACACGUGCUACAAUGGCCGAUACAGAGGGCAGCUACCUGGUGACAGGAUGCAAAUCUCCAAAGUCGGUCUCAGUUCGGAUCGGAGUCUGCAACCCGACUCCGUGAAGUUGGAUUCGCUAGUAAUCGCGCAUCAGCCAUGGCGCGGUGAAUACGUUCCCGGGCCUU
rnacentral:rRNA from 1 species